AUUGAACGCUGGCGGCAUGCCUUACACAUGCAAGUCGAACGGUAACGGGCCUUCGGGUGCCGACGAGUGGCGAGCGGGUGAGUAAUACAUCGGAACGUGCCCGAUCGUGGGGGAUAACGAGGCGAAAGCUUUGCUAAUACCGCAUACGAUCUACGGAUGAAAGCAGGGGACCGCAAGGCCUUGCGCGGACGGAGCGGCCGAUGGCAGAUUAGGUAGUUGGUGGGAUAAAAGCUUACCAAGCCGACGAUCUGUAGCUGGUCUGAGAGGAUGAUCAGCCACACUGGGACUGAGACACGGCCCAGACUCCUACGGGAGGCAGCAGUGGGGAAUUUUGGACAAUGGGCGCAAGCCUGAUCCAGCCAUGCCGCGUGCAGGAUGAAGGCCUUCGGGUUGUAAACUGCUUUUGUACGGAACGAAAAGCCUUCUUUUAAUACAGGAGGGUCAUGACGGUACCGCAAGAAUAAGCACCGGCUAACUACGUG
rnacentral:rRNA from 1 species